rnacentral:lncRNA from 1 species
UUCUUUCCAAAAUACAAGAGAAAAUGAAAAUGUUGUAAUAUAAUUGAAAUCUAAAAUCAAUGGAGUGUAUAAAGUGUGUUAAAAUUAUAUUUACAAUCCUUAUUUAUAGCCUAAAACCCAUUAUAAGGGGUGAUAAUCACAGCAAACACAAAGUCUUUUUAUUUCAUAAUAGAAUAAUCAAAACGAAACAAUUGGAGAAGCUAAGUAGUUUUUGGUGUUGGGAGGAUUACCACUGUAAUGCCCAUUACGGGUUGGCCGUAAUCUCCUCUAGUUUGUUUCAAAAUUAUUUUUUUCAAAUCCUUGAGAAGUCAUUGUUCCUUAGUUUUUUUGAGACGUUGAGGUAUCUCUCUGGUUUAUCUCUUCUUUGACUUGUAUAAGGCUUUAAUCCUUUAUUCAUCUUCAAACUCCUGAAUCAUAACAAAAUUAAGAAAAUAGGAGUAAAAUAAUAACAAAAGAAAAGUAGAUAAUAAGCUAUAUAAUUCAAACAACUAAAAGCGAUAAAAACAUGACUUAUCAAACUCCUACAUGCUUGAAUCAUUGUUUUUGCUCAAGCAAUUACCUCAAUUAAGAAGUAUAGGGACAAAUAAAUUUUUA